AUGGGGGGCUUUUUCUCAAGUAUUUUUUCCAGUCUCUUUGGAACCAGGGAAAUGAGGAUUUUAGUUCUGGGAUUAGAUGGUGCUGUAAAAAAGACAAUUUUGCACAGAUUACAGGUUGGAGAAGUUGUUACUACUAUUCACACUAUUGGAUUUAAUAUUGUUUUUUUUUUUUUUUUUAAUCUCAAAUUCCAAGUUUGAGACUUAGAAGGACAGACAAGUGUCAGGCCAUACUGAAGAUGUUAUUAUUCAAACACAGAUGCAGUCAUCUAUGUCGUUGACAGUUGUGACUGAGACCAAAUUGGCAUUUCCAAGUCAGAGUUAGUUGCCAUGUUGGAAGAAGAAGAGCUGAGAAAAGCCAUUUUAGUGGUGUUUGCAAAUAAACAGGACAUGGAGCAGACCAUGACACUUUCAGAAAUGGCAAAUGCUCUUGGGUUACCUGCCCUGAAGGACCUGAAAUGGCAGAUCUUUAAAAUGUCAGCAACCACAGGCACCAGCCUUGACGAGGCAAUGUUAGUUGAAACACUGAAAAGCAGAAGGUGA